AGCAGCAGGCAGGGAGGCGCCGGGGAGUGCAGCGUGAAAACGAACUAAGGGAUCUACCAGAACGAAAAUAGGGCGGGCGUGGGGUGGGGGUGAGGGGGACAGCCGUAUCCUCUCAAAUCCCCUGCCUCAUCCCAGACGCCGGCUGAAGCAGGGAAGCACACAGCCGCACCCCAGGGAUAACAUUCCAGGAUCCCCUUCCCCGUGGCUGACGCUUAAAUUCCUGGAAGCAGCCUCUCAAGAUAAGAUCCCUGCAUGUUACUAAAGCGUUAAUAACCAGCCAAGAGUAUUCAAGUAUGACAACUUCCUGUAAUAUUGGCUGCAAAAGGGUAAGUGAAAUAUUACUGCAUUUUGCCCUAUAGACUUGUGAGAUAGAAAUUACUUUAAUUGGGCCCUGAUUAAAGGACAUGUUAUAAAUUUAUUUUUCUUUUACUUAGAAUUUUUACAAUAAGACUUUGAUAGUCUAUAUUUCAUCCAGAAGUAAUCUUUUCUCUUUUAUUUGGAUUUUUAAAUGUUUUUUAUUUUCUCUUGAUUUUCUUCUUCAUAUAUCUCAUAACUCAGCCAUGCAUCCCUAAGUGAUCCCUGUGUUUUUCAACAUCUUCUUCAGGGGGGAAUGUAUUAUUAUUCUAAAAUGCAAAGUUUAAAUUCUUUUGAGAGUAAUUUUAGGUUAAGAAACAUACUACCUCUCCGAAUCCAGAAAGUGAACUCUUUGGAGAAGACACCAUGAAGAUGCCUCCACAGACCACACAAUACACCAGAAGAUCCAGAGUGAACUUUGGGAUGUGGUGAUCUAAACUGUGGGAUUGAAUGCAUUUGUUUUGUAUGUAUACUCUUAUGCCAAAGGGGACUACCCCCUAACUGGCUUUUUGUCACUGCACCUAGCAAUUAUUGGUUUUGUUCUCUUUUCCUCUUAUCCUCAAAUUAUUGUAAUUUCAAAGUUGGUUAUAUUUACAAGAUCCAUUGGAGAGACUAGUCUUCCAUGGAUCUGGGGUGGGGAUGUAUAAUUGAAAAUCUGUUACCCUAAAAAAGAACUACACUUCCUGGCAUCCCACUGAUUUCCUGUCAUAUGUACUUCCUAUAGAUAGGGCAUAUAAGGUGGGGACGUGUAAGAUCUCACCCUCUUUUUGGUUAGAAGCAAAUAUGGUGGCAGUGGUAAAGUAGGGGUUUUGAAAUGUCUAAUCAGCCAUGGGCAUAUGGUCUUUAUUCUGCACCCUCUUUAUCCCUUGAUUUCUAAUAAUCAUUAAUAAAUCCCUUAAAAUAUAAUAUUUUUAUUAUUUGACAUUAAUUUUGAUUUUUACAAACUAGUAACUAGACUUGCUUCAUCAGGCCUGGAGCUGAUUAGCAGACAUGGCCUUUGGCUUCCAGGAUUGACUGAACUGGUUUCAAUGAGAGAAAGUUUUGGGAGAAGUAGCAGAAGGCUUGAGCUGAAUAAUAGAAAGAAAAUAAGCGAUGUUAUUUUUAGAAAACUUUGGCCUUGUGAACAACUCCAGAGAAUGAAUUAGGGGAGGAGAAACAUGGAGAAAUUGGAGAGAAUUUGAGGAAAAGUUGAAGUGGAGCUUCUGGAGCUGAAGGAAAGGGAUUGAGGAGAAUAGAUUUGAAGAGAAAGGCUCAAGAUGAUAAGUAAGAUAAAUAAAUUGAACAAUAAAUAUAAAAAGGCUGCUAAAAAAAAGCUAAAGAAGAGAAAAGGAGUUGGGUAUAGAUUUUAGUUGUCAAGAAGCUUUAAAGGUCUUACCUGGUAGUUUAGGCAGUAAGUUCUAAAUACCUACCAGUUGUUAAAUAAACAAUGCUCUGAGGACCUAACAGCAUAGAAAGCAGGUAUGUCUUAGAGAAGGUAGGAUUUUUAGAUAGACACAACUGAAUGUGGGAUGUUUGUAUCUCUGCCUCAAUCAAGUGACUGCUAGCUAUGUCCCAAGUAUAAGCUAAUCACUGACCCAGAAGAAAAGGUAAAGGGAGUCUGUACAUUCUGGGUUACAAUGAGAUAUUCCCUUAAAACACUUAGAAGGAAGACUUCAGUUAUAUAAGGGUUGUUUUUUUUUUUUAAGUACCUCAAGUAGCCAUGGAAAACUUGACUUCUACUUGGAAAGUGGGAAAAUGUCACAAAGAUGAGGAUAGAAUAAGGGACUGCUGUGU